AGAGUUUGAUCCUGGCUCAGGAUGAACGCUGGCGGCGUGCUUAACACAUGCAAGUCGAACGAGCCUUCGGGCUAGUGGCGGACGGGUGAGUAACGCGUGGGAAUCUGCCCUCAGGAGGGGGAUAACGGCCGGAAACGGCCGCUAAUACCCCAUAUGCCGAGAGGUGAAACGGAAUUCGCCUGGGGAUGAGCCCGCGUCUGAUUAGCUAGUUGGUGUGGUAAUGGCGCACCAAGGCAUCGAUCAGUAGCUGGUCUGAGAGGAUGAUCAGCCACACUGGGACUGAGACACGGCCCAGACUCCUACGGGAGGCAGCAGUGGGGAAUUUUCCGCAAUGGGCGCAAGCCUGACGGAGCAACGCCGCGUGAGGGACGAAGGCCUCUGGGCUGUAAACCUCUUUUCUCAAGGAAGAAGACAUGACGGUACUUGAGGAAUAAGCCACGGCUAAUUCCGUGCCAGCAGCCGCGGUAAUACGGGAGUGGCAAGCGUUAUCCGGAAUUAUUGGGCGUAAAGCGUCCGCAGGCGGCCUUGAAAGUCUGUUGUUAAAGCGUGGAGCUCAACUCCAUUUCAGCAAUGGAAACUACAAGGCUAGAGUGUGGUAGGGGCAGAGGGAAUUCCCGGUGUAGCGGUGAAAUGCGUAGAUAUCGGGAAGAACACCAGUGGCGAAGGCGCUCUGCUGGGCCAUAACUGACGCUCAUGGACGAAAGCCAGGGGAGCGAAAGGGAUUAGAUACCCCUGUAGUCCUGGCCGUAAACGAUGAACACUAGGUGUCGGGAGAAUUAACCCUUUCGGUGUCGUAGCCAACGCGUUAAGUGUUCCGCCUGGGGAGUACGCACGCAAGUGUGAAACUCAAAGGAAUUGACGGGGGCCCGCACAAGCGGUGGAGUAUGUGGUUUAAUUCGAUGCAACGCGAAGAACCUUACCAGGGUUUGACAUCCUGCGAAUCCCUUGGAAACUUGGGAGUGCCUUCGGGAGCGCGGUGACAGGUGGUGCAUGGCUGUCGUCAGCUCGCGUCGUGAGAUGUUGGGUUAAGUCCCGCAACGAGCGCAACCCACGUCUUUAGUUGCCAGCAUUCAGUUGGGCACUCUAGAGAGACCGCCGGUGAUAAACCGGAGGAAGGUGUGGAUGACGUCAAGUCAUCAUGCCCCUUACAUCCUGGGCUACACACGUACUACAAUGCUACGGACAAAGGGCAGCAAACUCGCGAGAGCUAGCAAAUCCCAUAAACCGUGGCUCAGUUCAGAUCGUAGGCUGCAACUCGCCUACGUGAAGGAGGAAUCGCUAGUAAUCGCAGGUCAGCAUACUGCGGUGAAUACGUUCCCGGGCCUUGUACACACCGCCCGUCACACCAUGGAAGUUGGCCAUGCCCGAAGUCGUUACUCCAACCCGCAAGGGAGGAGGACGCCGAAGGUGGGGCUGAUGACUGGGGUGAAGUCGUAACAAGGUA
rnacentral:rRNA from 1 species